GCCGGGCGUGGUGGCGUGUGCCUGUAAUCCCAGUUACUUGGGAGGCUGAGCCAGGAGAAUCGCUUGAACCUGGGAGGUGGAGGCUGCAGUGAGUUGAGAUUGCACCAUUGCACUCCAGCCCAGGUGACAAAGCAGGACUCUGUCUCAA
rnacentral:SRP_RNA from 1 species